UUUUUUGUGAGGACAUCUUUGAGAGAGAUCACAGCUUCAUCACACCAUCCACUGGAACGGUUGUGUUAGAUCAUCCAGACGUCAGGACCAGAGAUUGCUAGAUCCGGAGAUCUCCAGAUUCCCAGCGUGAGCUGGGUGGCGAGCCACAUUGAACUACUGGUGAAGGAUUUCCUGAACUCUUCCCCCUAUAGAGCUCCGGGAGAUGACGUCACACAAUCCCGGCAUGCAACAGUCGAAAUCAAAACACCGCCAUAUUGGCAGGAAGGCACGCUGUUUAAACUACUGCCAGCUAACUCCUAAACGUUCUUCAGCGUCGACAUCAGAGAGUUCCACCAUAUGGUGGACAGUUGUUGCGCCCCGGGAUGCCAGAACAGCCGAGGACGAGCAAAGGGGAGAGCAUUUUAUCGGAUUCCCAAAGAUCCUGAAAGACGACAAAGGUGGAUCACUGCCAUAAAACGCGCAAGAAGCGAGCAGAAGAAAACGGAGCGGUGGGAACCCACAGGCAACGGAUUCCGCUUAUGUAGCGACCACUUUGUAUCAGAUUUGGGAAACAGCGCUGAAAUGAAAAAGAGAUGAAGUUCUGCUGUUUUAAGGUCUUCAAGACUAGAUGGCAAGAACACACAUCACCUAAAUCACCAAAGCAGAAGAACAGGCAAAGCUCCAAGAAGUUGGAUGAGGAGCAGUUUCCAAAGUGGCUGGUGGAUUUGAUGGUCAAUAUCGAAGAGGCAACACCCCAUGAACUGGUUAUUGAGUAACACUCAUCAUCACAUUUUGAUCAGGACAAAUGAUGUAAUUGGUGAAUGCUGAAUAUAGAACAAAGUUGGCACGGCUAACAUGAACUAUUUCAGGUUGGCACUGCCAGAGAGUAAAGUUCAUGUGCAUGUUCUUGUUAACCACGCCCAACGGGUACGUCGGCGGGGUUAUUGCAUUCGGUGUGGUAUCUGGCUGGGUAAGUAUGUAUGUAUGUAUGUAUGUAUGUGGCUAUGUCCGGUCCGAUAUCUCUGCAACCGCUGAAGUCAGGAUAAUCAAACUUUGCACUGAAGAUCAGUCUAAGGUCCCCUGCUCAGUUGUGGAGUUACAGGUCAGCAGAUCAAGUAGGGAGGGAGAUACGUACGAUGAUCAAAAUUGUUACAUAUUGCAUCAGUUGUAUAGAGAGGACAGGGUUUUCGCCAGCAGAGGGCGUGGUUCUGCCUUCUACUGAGGGCUCAUCUAGUUUUUUUCUGCAGUUACAAGUAAAUAAGCAAAACGUACCAGAAAAGUAAAGUAGGCCAGGCUGGUGGUGGUUGAAAAAAUAACUGCCUGGUGAAAACAUUUGUUCCAUAAUUCUGAGUAUAAUAUUUUUAGUUGAUAGGUUUUGUGUAAUAUUGGCGUUUAUCCUUGCUUCAGCCACAGUAGUCCUGGAGCAGCUGUUGUUACAUGAACCCAUUUACCUCUUUCUAAGUUGGUGUUCCUGGUCUGAAUGUUCAUGUAGAAUGCUGUUGGAGAGGCCAAAGCUCUCUCCAAGUGUAAUGUUUUAUUGAAACAAUAGAGAUCACAUCUACCCUGUUGCUUGAAAUUAAUUGAAAGAGGUCAUCUAUGCAGGGAGCAACACAUCCUUAACAUUUCAUAUGUCUGACUUGAUAAGGAUUUUAUUUCAAUCACAUUUAUCUUGAAAGUAUCAAAGUAUUCAUUAUGCAGGGAAAUGUGCCCUGUGAUUGUUUUGUUAUAAAGUAGGACUGGUACAAAAUGUCUUAUUUACGCACAAUGUAUGUAGUGUUUUAAUGCCAUUAUUGGUCACAAUAGAGCUGUAACUACAACAUUAAAACUACUAACAGGAUUAA